UACGUAGGGUGCGAGCGUUGUCCGGAAUUAUUGGGCGUAAAGAGCUUGUAGGCGGUUUGUCGCGUCUGCUGUGAAAAUCCGGGGCUCAACCCCGGACUUGCAGUGGGUACGGGCAGACUAGAGUGUGGUAGGGGAGACUGGAAUUCCUGGUGUAGCGGUGAAAUGCGCAGAUAUCAAGAGGAACACCAGUGGCGAAGGCGAGUCCCUGGACAAUACCUGACACUGAGGCACGAAAGCCAAGGGAGCAAACAGGG
rnacentral:rRNA from 1 species